UCUCUCUCUCUCUCUCUCUCUCUCUCUCUCCUGUUCUAGAUCUCAUCAGGUUUUUUUUUCUGGUUAUUUUGUAGCUUCUACGAUCUGGUAACAUGUUUUUAUAUACGUCAUACCUUUCAUUUUUAAUUUGCAAAUCAAUAAUAGAAAUUUGUGGUUUUGUCUCAUUUUACUAUUUUAGCAGUAUAUAUUACCAAGUUCAGAGAGUGUUCAGUAUUUUUCUUCUUCCCCGCUCUUAUCUCUAUCUGUUAGGGUUUCACUUCUAUUUCAGGUUUGGAUAUGGUUAGGUUCCAACCAGUAGAAGCGAAUACGUAGAAUUGUACCAAUAACAACUUGUCAUCUCGACUAUUCCGCCAUGUUACCCCUCCCACAUAUGUAUAAUGUAUACAUAGAUAAAUUUAUAUUAUAUACAUAUAUCUAUAUAUCUAUAUAUAUUGAAGGUACGAGUUUCUAUAAGUUAUGAAGGAUAAGUAAUUAAAUAUAUUUAGAGGAGAUGUAUGUAAGUAGUGAAUUGGAGUUAUGAGUUUGAGUUUGAUUUGAGAGACAAAAGAUUGCUACAUGAAGAUGAAAGACUAUUUCCGAAGCCGCGCGCGGUCGUUGUUUGCUGCUGUGGCAUCAUCAAGAUUCACAUCUCUGUUGAUGGACGGUGGUGAUUCACUCUCCCCAAAUUUGUCUCUGUGAAAAAUGAGAAUCUUGAUGAUGCUGCAUCGGCAAUCAAGGACUAUUAUUUUUGCCCUUUCUGUAUUCCAUCCAAGAUCUUCUUCAGGAUCUCAAGUUUUUGACAGUCUUUUUCAACCCAAUACAUGAAUGGAUCCAAAAGCUUCUCUUUCAAUAGAUGAACAAGAGUCACAAUAUCAUCAAAAGGACUAACUAAGGUAACUAUGACAUAUUCCUAUACAACUUUCUCUUGUUGGCAAAAUUUCAGCUUGCACUUAUCACAACACAAUAUCCUUUUCUUUCUUUUGGAAAUAAGAAAAAAAAAAUGGAUAUCAUGGAAGUUGAUGAGAUAAUGAAAGGGUCUAGAUGCAACUAUUGAUGUCUAGCAGCAAAGAAAGGUUUUCAGGACAAACUGUCACUUCUCUCUGUGUUGUUGGUUUAUUGUUGGCUAUUACAUUCAAAAUGAGAAUCAAUUAGGAACUUGUUGGGUGGACCUUACACAUUGUAGACUAGGCAUACGUACUCAGUCCCACCUACUGAUGAACAUGAAGCAAAUUAAAAGUACUCUCAUUUUUUUUUUCUCUUAUAGGGUAAUAUAUUAUAGCAGACCAAUCAGAUUGUGAACAAAUCCAAAAUACAUAGUAUAAUGAGUUUCAUGUGUUGUUUGUGAGCACCAAUCAUCCCUAAUGUAGCUUCCAAAUCAAAUUAUAAAUACCUAAGUAAUGCCUUUUCUUUUGGUUAUGUCUUGUAGUACAUGCAGAUAUAGAUGAGUUUAGUUAGUUAAUGUCUUAUAUGUUAUGGAGCGUGUGUUUAAUCACUCCCCCAUCCAUAUAUAUUUAGUUAUUCAAAGAAAUGAAUCAUAGCUUCCACUAUAAAAUCUAAUUGUUUUGAGCAAUGAAUUGGAUGAUCGCGCUCCAUAAGUGGAAGUGAAAUCAUUCUAUCUCAUUCUUGUAAUGCACAAUGGCAAGUUGGCAACUAUUUUUUUCAUAUCAUGAUGAUAUUUUUGAUAUGUCCGCCAAUCACGUGUAUUUUGCAUAUAUCUUCCAGUAUUGGCAAACGAAAUUGUAAUUUUAUCAAAAUUAGUACAUCAAAAUAAUAUUAUAUGUCUUCACUCCAA